rnacentral:lncRNA from 10 species
AAAUGCUUCUUCUCCCUCACUGCCCCAUUCCCAGUUUCCUAGAAGGGGAAAAUAUGUUUUAGGUCUGGCUCUUCCAGAAGGGGAAGAUAAGUUUUAAGUCAGGCUUUUCUAGAAGAGGAAAAUAGAUUUUAGAUCCAGCUCUUCUAGAAACGGAAGAUAUGUUUUAACUCUGCCUUUUCUAGAAGGAGAAGAUACGUUUUAGGUCAGGCUCUUCCAGAAGGGGAAGAGACGUUUUAGGUCUGCUUUUUUCUAGAAGGGAAAGAUAUGUUUUAGAUCAGGCUCUUCUAGAAAGGGAAGAUAGGCUUUUGAUCUGCCUGUUCUAGGCUGGGCGUGGUGGCUCAUGCCUGUAAUCCCAGCACUUCGGAAGGCUGAGGCAGGAGGAUCACCUGAGGUCAGGGAGACCAGCCUGGGCAACAUGGUAAAACCGCGUCUCAACUAAAAGUACAAAAUUAGCUGGGCGUCGUGGCACAUGCCUUUAGUCCCAGCUACUUGGGAGGCUGAGACAGGAGAAUCGCUUGAACCCAGGAGUCUCACAAAAAAAAAAAAGAUCUGCUUGUUCUAGAAGGGGAAGAUACAUUUUAGAUCAGGCUCUUUUAGAAGCAUAAGAUAUGUUUUAGAUAUGGUUUCUCUUAAUACAGAAAGAUAGUUUUAGAUCAGGCUCUUUCAGAAGUGGCAGGUAUGUUUUAGACCCGUGUAUUCUAGAAGGGGAAGAUACAUUUUAGAUCUGUCUCUGAACCUUGAUAGAAAAGUACACCUUGGCCAGGUGUGGUGGCUCACGCCUGUAAUCCCAGCACUUUGGGAGGCUGAGGCAGGUGGAUCACUUGAGGCCAGGAGUUCCAGACUAGCCUGGCCAACAUGGUGAAACCCCAUCUCUAUUAAAAAUACAAAA